rnacentral:rRNA from 1 species
AGUGAACGCUGGCGGCGUGCCUAAUACAUGCAAGUCGAACGGAGUGGCGCACGGGUGAGUAAUAUAUAGCUAAUCUGCCCCUUGCUGGAGGACAACAGUUAGAAAUGACUGCUAAUACUCCAUAGAAAGGGAUGAGAUUAUAUCGUAUCAGCUGGUCGGUGGGGUAACGGCCUACCGAGGCUAUGACGCGUAACUGGUCUGAGAGGCUUGUCAGUGACAUUGGAACUGAGACACGGUACAAACUCCUACGAGUGGCAGCAGUAGGGAAUAUUGCGCAAUGGGGGAGACCCUGACGAAGCAACACCGCGAGGAGGAUGACACUUUUCGGAGCGUAAACAACUUUUGUUAGGGAAGCGGUACCUAACGAAUAAGCACCGGCUAACUCCGUGCCAGCAGCCGCGGUAGUUC